GACGAACCGUGCGAACGUUGUUCGGAAUCACUGGGCUUAAAGGGCGCGUAGGCGGGCUGUCAAGUCUGGGGUGAAAUGCCGCGGCUCAACCGUGGAACUGCCUUAGAUACUGACGGCCUCGAGGAAGGUAGGGGCAUGCGGAACUGUAGGUGGAGCGGUGAAAUGCGUUGAUAUCUACAGGAACUCCGGCGGCGAAAGCGGCGUGCUGGACCUUUUCUGACGCUGAGACGCGAAAGCGUGGGGGAGCGAACAGG
rnacentral:rRNA from 1 species